rnacentral:rRNA from 1 species
UACGUAGGAGCAAGCGUUGUUCGGAUUUACUGGGCGUAAAGGGCGCGUAGGCGGCAAAUUAAGUCAGCUGUGAAAUCUCCGAGCUUAACUCGGAACGGUCAGCUGAUACUGAUCUGCUAGAGUGCGGAAGGGGCAAUCGGAAUUCUUGGUGUAGCGGUGAAAUGCGUAGAUAUCAAGAGGAACACCUGAGGUGAAGACGGGUUGCUGGGCCGACACUGACGCUGAGUGCGCGAAAGCCAGGGGAGCAAACGGG